UACGUAGGGUGCAAGCGUUAAUCGGAAUUACUGGGCGUAAAGCGUGCGCAGGCGGUUUUGUAAGUCUGACGUGAAAUCCCCGGGCUCAACCUGGGAAUGGCGAUGAAGACUGCAAGGCUAGAAUCUGGCAGAGGGGGGUAGAAUUCCACGUGUAGCAGUGAAAUGCGUAGAGAUGUGGAGGAACACCGAUGGCGAAGGCAGCCCCCUGGGUCAAGAUUGACGCUCAUGCACGAAAGCGUGGGGAGCGAACAGG
rnacentral:rRNA from 1 species